CGUGCUUUAUCAAUUAUAAAACACUCGUGCAGCGCACUCGUGUUUUAUAUCUGAUAAAGCACUGGGAGCCCAUCCCGGGUCUUAUUGAAGUUAUGUAUUAGAAUUACGUAUGAAAUAUAUAGCUCAGUGUUGAAGUCUGCGAUUUGCGGGCUGUGUGCGGGCAAACGCGAGCGCAUUUGCACGCACACAAAUAUUGCGGAUAUACUGAUGAUUGAGAACAUUUGAGUCUGUAAAUUUAUUUAUUCGUAAAAGUACAUUUGUUUUAUUUUUAGAAAUAAAUAAUAGUACAUUUUGGCAAGGUGCU